UUUAAAGGGAGCGCAGGCGGGAUUUUAAGCGUGUUGUGAAAUGUAACGGCUCAACCGUUGAAUUGCAGCGCGAACUGGAGUCCUUGAGUGAGUACGACGUCAGCGGAAUUCGUGGUGUAGCGGUGAAAUGCUUAGAUAUCACGAAGAACUCCGAUUGCGAAGGCAGCUGACGAGUCCUUAACUGACGCUAAAGCUCGAAAGUGCGGGUAUCGAACAGGAUUAGAUACCCUGGUAGUCCGCACGGUAAACGAUGGAUGCCCGCUGUUGGCGAUAUACAGUCAGCGGCCAAGCGAAAGCGUUAAGCAUCCCACCUGGGGAGUACGCCGGCAACGGUGAAACUCAAAGGAAUUGACGGGGGCCCGCACAAGCGGAGGAACAUGUGGUUUAAUUCGAUGAUACGCGAGGAACCUUACCCGGGCUUGAACUGCAGGGGAACGAUCCAGAGAUGGUGAGGUCAGCAAUGACUCCUGUGGAGGUGCUGCAUGGUUGUCGUCAGCUCGUGCCGUGAGGUGUCGGCUUAAGUGCCAUAACGAGCGCAACCCUUUUCUCUAGUUGCCAUCAGGUAGAGCUGGGCACUCUGGAGACACUGCCACCGUAAGGUGUGAGGAAGGUGGGGAUGACGUCAAAUCAGCACGGCCCUUACGUCCGGGGCUACACACGUGUUACAAUGGGUGAUACAGAGAGUUAGUCGUUCGCAAGAACGGUUUAAUCAAGAAAGUCAUCCUCAGUUCGGAUUGGGGUCUGCAACCCGACCCCAUGAAGCUGGAUUCGCUAGUAAUCGCGCAUCAGCCAUGGCGCGGUGAAUACGUUCCCGGGCCUUGUACACACCGCCCGUCAAGCCAUGAAAGCUGGGGGCGCUUGAAGUCCGUGACCGCAAGGAUCGGCCUAGAGCGAAACCGGUAAUUGGGGCUAAGUCGUAACAAGGUAGCCGUACCGGAAGGUGCGGCUGGAACACCUCCUUU
rnacentral:ncRNA from 1 species